CCUACGGGGGGCAGCAGUGGGGAAUAUUGGACAAUGGGCGAAAGCCUGAUCCAGCCAUGCCGCGUGUGUGAAGAAGGCCUUCGGGUUGUAAAGCACUUUCAGUGGGGAAGAAAGCCUUGGGGCUAAUACCCUCGAGGAAGGACAUCACCCACAGAAGAAGCACCGGCUAACUCCGUGCCAGCAGCCGCGGUAAUACGGAGGGUGCGAGCGUUAAUCGGAAUUACUGGGCGUAAAGCGCGCGUAGGCGGUCUGAUAAGCCGGUUGUGAAAGCCCCGGGCUCAACCUGGGAACGGCAUCCGGAACUGUCAGGCUAGAGUGCAGGAGAGGAAGGUAGAAUUCCCGGUGUAGCAGUGAAAUGCGUAGAGAUCGGGAGGAAUACCAGUGGCGAAGGUGGCCUUCUGGACUGACACUGACGCUGAGGUGCGAAAGCGUGGGUAGCAAACAGGAUUAGAUACCCGUGUAGUC
rnacentral:rRNA from 1 species